CUGGCAGUUUUUCCAACUGUAGCGAUUCAAAUCUUUAUUCCACAAUAACGGCUAACAGCUAACAGCUUUGUGUCGGCGGCUGACUUUAACUAGCAACUCGGCGUUAAACACGAAAACCUACAGAGGAGCUGCGUGUCCAGAGAAGUGUUUGUGCUCCGAGGCUCCGGGGAAAACUCCGAGGCGGCGUCUCAUCAGGAGAACAUCAACACGCAAAUGGGACCGUCAUAAAUCUGCAGGACCACAAGUGAGCUGCCUCUCCUAAUGGUUACAAGUAAGUGCUUGGCUCAGGUAUGUCAUCGAAGGUAAAGCACUUUACAGUAAUGCAAAUUUAAACAUCAAUUUCUAUCUUGGAUUUACAUGCAGCUGGUUUCCACUGAAAGAUGACAGCAAGUCUAGUGGUCUGACGUCUGCUACAUCUUCUACAUUGAUCAUUUCAUACUCCACUUUCCGCUCCACCACAUAUGAACACAGAUGAUCAUCAAAGUAUUUCACAGUUAAAAUUCUAAGAAAAAUUACUACCUCUUCCUUUUCACAAUUGGGAAUCAUGUGUACAAUCUCUCCAAAGACUCUUAAGUCACAUUUUAAAGCAAGUACACAACCAGUUCUGUAUGUCUGACCAAGUACACAGAUAGAGCGAGCCACAUGAGUUGAUCACUAAAUUUCCAAUUGAACAUACUUUGAACUUUAUUCUUACAAGCCAAAGUCUUAUAAGAAAUAUUUAUGAAAUUACACACAACUUGAAGAUGCCUUUCAGGAUUCAGGAGACCAUGCUUACUCUCAAAUCUCAUACACCAUAACUUCAAAUGUGGGCCAAACUUUAUCAUCUUGCGCCAAAGGUGAGUCAUAAAAUGAUGUUUCGGGGCGAGCGACCUGGCUGGAUAAAGACUCUUGAACAACUUUUGGUGAUCUGUAACCAACUGGUUUAAAAAGACAGAAAGUCCUUUGCUAACAACUUGUGCAAAUACUAUGCUACAUAUUUUUCUCAGGAGGAGGAACAAAUUCCAAUGCUGAUCAUGUUCAGUUAUAAAAUCUCUGAUUAGGAAAAGUUAAAAAGAGUAAGAGGCACCACAUCUGACUGGCUUUUUGUUUUAUGGGAAUCUCUGAUGUUCUCAAGUUAAGAAUGAGACAAGGUUUGUUUUUCUCAUUUGCACAAUCAUAAUCAAAGCUUACCUAGUCUGUCAUUGACCUGCUCUAAGGUGAAAAGCUUUUCAUCAUAGUGUAACUGUUUUAACACCAAUUUUACUUCAGCUAGAGCCACGCCCUCUAAAAUGUCAUGCCUAAUGUCUUCACAAACGUUUUUGGUCACAUGAAAGUAAUUGAGCAAGUUUAAACAGGAAUCCUCUUUAAAGUUGGAUUGUUAAGCACGACAUAUUCUUUAGUUUAUAGUUUACUUUAUUAUGAAACUCCUGGUGAUCAUCAUCAAACACACUGGGCAGCUUUUGUUUGUCAGUUAGAUAGAAAUGGCAAAAUUUGUUGGCUGAAAAGCUUUCUAAAAACCCUCCAAGUGAAUGGCAGACAAGACUCUGUGUAUAGAAUUGAAGAUAUACAAAAAUGAAUAUUUGCAAGAGAGGCGUUGAAUUCCACAGGUAAGUUUCUCAAGCAGAAGUAAACAGCUCCCAUUUUGUGAACUUUACUUUUUGAGCCCAAAGGAUUAGUUGUUUACAAGUCAUCAAAAUAAAGUUGAAUUUGUAGGGCAUUGCAUUGGGAUACCUGCUGUAUAAUGUAUAAUUUGCAAACUGUGUGCCAUCACAAUAAUCAUGCAAUUUACCAUCAUUUUGUUAGAUUGCUUAGAGAGUCUCUGCAUCUUUUCACUUCCAAAGAGAAACUUCAUGCUAUCAGUAAUGGAGAUAUACUGGCAAGUGUCUGUAGCCAGUACUUGAGUCAGUUUUUCUCCUGCUUUCUUGCUGUGUCACCUCUGUACCUUAAGAAAAUUUCUGUGGGCUUGAAAAGGGAGUUUUUCAGAAAAAUGUUUGCACAAUUUGUAGGGAGUAUCCACCUCUGAAAACAUGUUUCGUGCAUUUUCAGACUCCUGCAUCAAAGAUUGGACAGCAUCAUCAAUUGAUGUAUUAAUCACAGAUGCAGUUUAUUCCUUUAAAGAAUCCAGUGAAAAUAGCUCUUUGGUGUACGCAGUGCUUUUUUGCACAUCAUUUAGGGUGGAAUUAGAUGCAGAAUAUCAACAAAUGAAGCUGCACAGUCACGGUGGUCUGAAAAAUGAAGAUCCUUUGAAGUGUCCAAAUAAGAGUCCAAAUUAUUUUCCUAAGUGUCCAUAGCGUUAGAGCAAGAUGCCAAAGAAACAUCCUCUGACACAUUACUGAAAUUGACCAUUUGUUCCAAAUGAACUGGGUUCGCAUCCUGAGUGUGUUCCCCACUGAGAUUUUUGGCAUAAGAAUUGAAGUUAUGGUAACAUCUCUGAGAGUGGUUUUGACUAUAUACAAUUGUAUAAUCCUGUUCAUCUGAAAUCGCAUGGACUUGCCUAAGAUGUAUGAUAAGUGUCCUUAUGUGUUUUGAAAUGGAUUUCUUGCACUUGGGACAAGUUUGCAUGGUAGUCCAACUUACAACACUGCCUGGAGCUUUGCGAUAAGCUCCACAACUUUUGCUCUGUUCCCACCCGAGAUGGGCAUGUCAUAAACAUACUCAAAGAAACCGUAGACUGAUUCGAGUUGGGCAGGAUAUGCCAUAUUGCAAACUUUGAACAGCUUGUGAAUGGCACAUGUUAAACACUCAUCUUGAAGUUGCGACUUUGCCUCUUUUGCCAUGAUGAUAUACUGAGCUGUUGUACUGGGGUGUUCCAAACACACGAGCUUGGGCUGGUGGACUCCCACUGCUGCCUCAUGAGAUCCCUCUAGAAGGCUGGGGAUGCUCGUUCCAGUCUGGAAAAACACAAGUUUAUCAAAUAGGGCUGGCAAGAUAUCAGUAUUUAUCAUCUGUGUUAUCAUAUAAUGGGUUUUUAUUAUAUCAUAAUGCAUAAUUUGUUGUCUAAAUUCAUGAUAAAAAACAAAAUAUAUAAUUAAGUCAGAUUUCACACAAACUUAUGAAAAUGUUCAGUUUCCCCACAGGAUUUCGUGAGACUAUAGUGGGUGGAGCUUCUAGGGGGGUCCGGGGUCAUACUACCCUCUAAGAAAUUUUGUACAUUUUCAAGUUAAAUGCAUGAAUCAGGUACACUUUUAGAGCAAAAUAAGAGGCUAGAUCUAUGAACAACUUUGUGCUCUUGUAAACAAUUUUGUGCUCUAGUAGUAAUUUAAUCAUAAACACAUUAGUUGUAUAGAUAUGAAUGGUGAUGACACAACAAAAAAGUCACACCCAGAAAGCAUAGUAACCGAGAUGUGUUUAACGUGGUUCACAAAUGAUCAAAACGUAAAAUUGACUAGAGCAUACAUUUGAGCCAUCAAAGAAAUGAAGCAAAUGCGAUUACCUGUGUUGAACUGGUUUAUUUUUUUUUAGAAAAUAAAACUUUACUGGAUGAGGAGGACAUGGUAUUGAUCAACUCUUCCUACAUCCCUACUGGCAAACUUUACACCCUGAAUUUGGACAUUUAAUUUUCCUGGGCUUUGAGAAAAACUAGUUCUAAUGCCAUUUUGUAGUUGAAUUCCUCUAGGCUUGGCCCACUGAUGGAGACCCUCAGGCAGGCAGCCAGUUGCUUUCUUUGCAGUCUGUUACUAAGAUCUGAUUUGACCUGAAAAUGAAGCUAACUACAAUUAGCCAAAUGAUUGAGAAUAAAAGGUGCAUUUGGAGCACACUGUUUGCACUUUUUUUUUAGUUAAGAAGAAUAUGCAGUUUAUCAUGUAAGUGCAAUGGGGUUAAAUGUUAAGCACAUAUCUCGGCAGUCAUACCGCCACGUCCUCAGUCCAUACCCUGUUCAUUGUGGAGAAAUCUCUCACACUUGAAGCUUGACACCAGAAAGACAAGUGCCAUUGCCAAACGGCUUAGUAAUGGGUAGAUCCGUUCCAUUCGUCGCACUCACUGACUACCAGGGUCUGAAGGUGGGAGUUGUUCUGAUUAUCACCUAGUGCAGCUGCUUGGGUCCCAAACGCUGAAGGCCCCAAUGUCCGGAUUCUGGAACCUGCUUUCUAGGUGGAGUAUCAGGUCACUGAUGUAAGGUUUGGAAAGAAAAAUAAAACUUAACUUAAACUUUUCAAACAGCAGAGAAGCUAAGGCACUCUUGAACAUUGUUUAGCGAAGCCCUGUUAUCACAAAUAAACGGAAACAAACGGUCAAAUAUCGAGUCCUAAAUCCUUUAGAUUUACACUUUGGCAAGAUUAAAUAAGAUUGUCAUGGUAAUAGUGUGCAGUGAAUGUAAACAACAACAGUAGGCCAAUUUUACACUUCUGGGUUUGUUGCUUCUGGGAAUGACCGCCACAGGGUCAUCUGACUUCCGGUAAAGCAUUCGCUGAGUCGAGAAACAUGUCUUUCUGUAGUGCCUCAGUGCAGUAAUUUAAAACAAAAACAACCACAUUUCUUACGAUUUUCCAUCAAAGGAAGAAGUGGGGCUGCUGAGGAAGAAUAGGUCGCUACUUGUUUUAACAAACUAAAAUCUGUACAUAGUUUACUGAAAAUAAUUAGACAGAUACAAUGGAAAACUUUUGUCUUUUUAAAUAAUUAUUUGUGGUAAAGUAAAUAUGUCAAACCUCUAUUUUGUUGUCCAGUUGUUAUUUCACACAUUUGAAUCUUGGAUUUCUAGAUUUGUACAGAAUUGUAAAAUUGAAUUAGAUAUGUACAUUUUCUGAAGAAAGUGUGAGUGGUGCUUGCCGUGGCAAAACUCGGCACUGUAGCCAUCCAGCAUGUGUCUUGAAGUUGCUAUGACGGUUGCUAAGGUACUUGGGGUGGUUGCUAGGGUGUUGCUAUGCGGUUGCUAGGGUUCCUAGGGCCGUUGCUAGGAUGUUGUUAUGUGGUUGCUAGGGUACCCAGGGCCGUUGCUAGGGUGUUGCUAUGCAGUUGUUAGGGUAAUUGGGGUGGUUGCUAGGGUGUUGCUAUGUGGUUGCUAGGGUAAUUGGGGUGGUUGCUAGGGUGUUGCUAUGCGGUUGCUAGGAUACUUGGGAUGGUUGCUAGGAUGUUGCUAUGUGGUUGCUAGGGUACCCAGGGCCAUUUCUAGGAUGUUGCUAUGUGGCUGCUAGGUUGUUGCUAUGAGGUUGCUAGGGUACUUGGGGUGGUUGCUAUGUGGUUGCUAGGAUACUUGGGGUGGUUGCAGGGUGGUUGCUAUGCGGUUGCUAGGGUACUUGGGGUGGUUGCUAGGGCGGCUGCUAAGGUGCCCAGGGUGGUUGCUAGGGUGCUUGCUAGUGGUUGCUAGGGCGUGGCUAGGAAGUGUUGAAGGUGAUUCAUGAUUGGCUGUCAGGCCCACCCCCAUGUCUCUAUGACACUGUGAUCCAAAGAUAUCCAUCUGGGGUUUUAUAAUGGCAGUCUAUGGGAUCUGUUGCUAGGGUGCCCUAAAUGGUUGCUAGGGCGUGGCUUGACAGCUUCACGGUGAUCCUGAGAGUCUGAUUGGUUGUCUGAGUAGAAUGAUAUAAGACUAUAUGAGUUUUCAAGGGUUUUCCAGGACUUCAAUUUCAAAAACUCAAAUUCAAGUACUUCAGGCGCUUAAAGCACCUUGUACGAACCCUGAAUAUUGCAGAUUUGCCUCGUCACAAUAGUCUGUGAACACGGUCCAUAGUGCAAGUGUGAUUCCACUGGCUGUACAAUCAUGUAGAAACGUUUAUCUGUUUAUGUACGGAGCACAAUGUGAAAGUAAAGCGGAAGCUUGUCAUCAGACGAACAAGACAGGUUAUAAACAUGUAAUGUUGCAGAAUUUGGAACCACAAACUUAGUUAACUAAACCACAAACUUAGUUAACUAAACCACAAACUUAGUUAGUUAAACUAAAAAUAGUAAGAGAAAUAUAGCAUGCAGUUCCAAAUUCAGCAUCUGAGUGACAUUGAGCAGCAAAUGAUCUUCCUCGGAGUUAUAAUAGCAAUUGAGGAAGUAAAAACUCAGGCAAAUGAUUAAUGAAGUUUGCUUAUUAGAUAUGCAGACAUAUUGUGGUCUUGAAUUAGAUAAGUACACAUAACUAAUAUGCAGAAUUAUAAUGAAAACUAUAAAUAUUUACACACAAUGUGGUCUUCAUUUAGAGUAGUAUAUAUAUUUAAAAGUAAGUUUUUACCCUUAUUGCACCAUUCAAUAAAGACAAGCAUGCUGGAUUUGCCAAUUCACCUAAAAUGUUUAUUAAAAAGAUUAAGAAAAGCACCUGUUGUGCCAAAUCCCGAUCCCAGCCACGCAGCUAGAUCCUAUAGUGUUUUAUUGGCUACCAGUAAAUGUUAUUUUAGUAGCGUGAUUAAAAAAAUUAUAUCUUUAUUAUAUUGCCACUAUUAAAUUUAUAAAAAUGAAAACAGAAAUAUUACUGUAGCAAUAAGAC